CCUACGGGGGGCAGCAGUGGGGAAUAUUGGACAAUGGGGGGAACCCUGAUCCAGCCAUGCCGCGUGUGUGAAGAAGGCCCUCGGGUUGUAAAGCACUUUCAGUGAGGAAGAACGCCUGGUGGUUAAUACCCAUCAGGAAAGACAUCACUCACAGAAGAAGCACCGGCUAACUCCGUGCCAGCAGCCGCGGUAAUACGGAGGGUGCGAGCGUUAAUCGGAAUUACUGGGCGUAAAGCGCGCGUUGGUGGCUUGAUAAGCCGGUUGUGAAAGCCCCGGGCUCAACCUGGGAACGGCAUCCGGAACUGUCAAGCUAGAGUGCAGGAGAGGAAGGUAGAAUUCCCGGUGUAGCGGUGAAAUGCGUAGAGAUCGGGAGGAAUACCAGUGGCGAAGGCGGCCUUCUGGACUGACACUGACACUGAGGUGCGAAAGCGUGGGUAGCAAACAGGAUUAGAUACCCGAGUAGUC
rnacentral:rRNA from 1 species